GACGAACGCUGGCGGCGUGCCUAAUACAUGCAAGUUGAGCGAUGAAGAUUGGUGCUUGCACCAAUUUGAAGAGCAGCGAACGGGUGAGUAACGCGUGGGGAAUCUGCCUUUGAGCGGGGGACAACAUUUGGAAACGAAUGCUAAUACCGCAUAACAACUUUAAACAUAAGUUUUAAGUUUGAAAGAUGCAAUUGCAUCACUCAAAGAUGAUCCCGCGUUGUAUUAGCUAGUUGGUGAGGUAAAGGCUCACCAAGGCGAUGAUACAUAGCCGACCUGAGAGGGUGAUCGGCCACAUUGGGACUGAGACACGGCCCAAACGCCUACGGGAGGCAGCAGUAGGGAAUCUUCGGCAAUGGACGAAAGUCUGACCGAGCAACGCCGCGUGAGUGAAGAAGGUCUUCGGAUCGUAAAACUCUGUUGGUAGAGAAGAACGUUGGUGAGAGUGGAAAGCUCAUCAAGUGACGGUAACUACCCAGAAAGGGACGGCUAACUACGUG
rnacentral:rRNA from 1 species